rnacentral:rRNA from 1 species
UUGAAGAGUUUGAUCAUGGCUCAGAUUGAACGCUGGCGGCAGGCCUAACACAUGCAAGUCGAACGGUAACAGGAAGCAGCUUGCUGCUUCGCUGACGAGUGGCGGACGGGUGAGUAAUGUCUGGGAAACUGCCUGAUGGAGGGGGAUAACUACUGGAAACGGUAGCUAAUACCGCAUAACGUCGCAAGACCAAAGAGGGGGACCUUCGGGCCUCUUGCCAUCGGAUGUGCCCAGAUGGGAUUAGCUUGUUGGUGGGGUAACGGCUCACCAAGGCGACGAUCCCUAGCUGGUCUGAGAGGAUGACCAGCCACACUGGAACUGAGACACGGUCCAGACUCCUACGGGAGGCAGCAGUGGGGAAUAUUGCACAAUGGGCGCAAGCCUGAUGCAGCCAUGCCGCGUGUAUGAAGAAGGCCUUCGGGUUGUAAAGUACUUUCAGCGGGGAGGAAGGGAGUAAAGUUAAUACCUUUACUCAUUGACGUUACCCGCAGAAGAAGCACCGGCUAACUCCGUGCCAGCAGCCGCGGUAAUACGGAGGGUGCAAGCGUUAAUCGGAAUUACUGGGCGUAAAGCGCACGCAGGCGGUUUGUUAAGUCAGAUGUGAAAUCCCCGGGCUCAACCUGGGAACUGCAUCUGAUACUGGCAAGCUUGAGUCUCGUAGAGGGGGGUAGAAUUCCAGGUGUAGCGGUGAAAUGCGUAGAGAUCUGGAGGAAUACCGGUGGCGAAGGCGGCCCCCUGGACGAAGACUGACGCUCAGGUGCGAAAGCGUGGGGAGCAAACAGGAUUAGAUACCCUGGUAGUCCACGCCGUAAACGAUGUCGACUUGGAGGUUGUGCCCUUGAGGCGUGGCUUCCGGAGCUAACGCGUUAAGUCGACCGCCUGGGGAGUACGGCCGCAAGGUUAAAACUCAAAUGAAUUGACGGGGCCCGCACAAGCGGUGGAGCAUGUGGUUUAAUUCGAUGCAACGCGAAGAACCCUUACCUGGUCUUGACAUCCACAGAACUUUCCAGAGAUGGAUUGGUGCCUUCGGGAACUGUGAGACAGGUGCUGCAUGGCUGUCGUCAGCUCGUGUUGUGAAAUGUUGGGUUAAGUCCCGCAACGAGCGCAACCCUUAUCCUUUGUUGCCAGCGGUCCGGCCGGGAACUCAAAGGAGACUG